rnacentral:misc_RNA from 1 species
UAUUCUCAACCUAACCAGCUUGUUGUGAGCUUGGAUAGGCUUGGAUGUUGGGGGUCUUUGCUGGCUUCACCAGAAGUCAGCUCCCCUUAAAUGUAUUAGCGGAACCUUUUGCUGACCUGUUCCUGGUGUGAUAAUUAUCUACACCGUGCACAAGUCAGCUUAGUUUAAUGGGCUUCUGCUUAUAACCCUCUUUUUGACC